AUUGAACGCUGGCGGCAGGCCUAACACAUGCAAGUCGAGCGGAUGAUGGGAGCUUGCUCCCGGAUUCAGCGGCGGACGGGUGAGUAAUGCCUAGGAAUCUGCCUGGUAGUGGGGGACAACGUUUCGAAAGGAACGCUAAUACCGCAUACGUCCUACGGGAGAAAGCAGGGGACCUUCGGGCCUUGCGCUAUCAGAUGAGCCUAGGGCGGAUUAGCUAGUUGGUGGGGUAAAGGCCUACCAAGGCGACGAUCCGUAACUGGUCUGAGAGGAUGAUCAGUCACACUGGAACUGAGACACGGUCCAGACUCCUACGGGAGGCAGCAGUGGGGAAUAUUGGACAAUGGGCGAAAGCCUGAUCCAGCCAUGCCGCGUGUGUGAAGAAGGUCUUCGGAUUGUAAGGCACUUUAAGUUGGGAGGAAGGGCAGUAAGUUAAUACCUUGCUGUUUUGACGUUACCAACAGAAUAAGCACCGGCUAACUUCGUGCCAGCCGCCGCCGUAAGAC
rnacentral:rRNA from 1 species